AAUAUCUGUGCAUAAAACUUGAGACACAUCAGUGUAUAUAAUAACACUUAAACCAAGAAAGAAAAAAGUCAGAAGAAAAGAAGGAACCAACUGUUAUCACUAUUAGGUGAUAUUUUAAUGUGUGGUCACUUAUUACAAAAUGUCUUGUUUCCUGUGGCUGUGCUUCUCGCAUCCGACGUUGUGAGACACUGCUGUGAGAAAACAGUGAGAGAAACUGUAAUUGACAAAAACAUUUGACAUUCUUGUAGCUGCACAAAGAUACACUGUGUUAGGAAUAAAUUAAAUGUUUAGCAAGCAAAACAGAAACAUUUUUUCAAAAACAGCCAUAAAAUGUACUCUUAUUGUUAAACAUACAGUAACUACUCUCCUGUUCCACUUUAUAUAUUUUCAAGUGAAAUUAAAUGAAACCAUCAGGGGUUAAUGAUGAGAUCACAGGUAACAACGUUGAUGAGAACAAACAGUGAUUUUACAGAGUUAGUCAGGACUGACCAACAGCUUUGUUUUGUCUUUUUAUUUCUGUUUUUAUAGAAAUUUUUUCCAUAAAGAUGUGCAAAUAACACUGAUACAAUGUAACUAGAUUGAUCAGAUGAAACACUUUAUUACAUUUUAAUGUUUAAGGUAAAUAAACACAACUAUUGAUGUGUUAAUGAUCAUAUUUGUCAUGUUUGAAAUCAGUUUUUGUACAGCUCAUUACUGUUAAGCAUGUUUUUUUAACUGCUGUUUGAGAAGCUUCAUUGGCACUAAUAUUUUUUUCUGCUCUAUCUCUUUGAAUCUAAUAAUAGAUGAGCUGCGCUGUAGAUAGACCCUCCUCCCCAUCCUUUAAAGUCAUCAGGAAGUUGUUGUUUUUUUAACAGAGAGAACUGAAAGGUGUUGUGCUUCACUUCUCUUUGAAAAGCCUGAGGUGAGGGUCGCAGAGGUGAAGCUUGAUGCUUAAUUUUCAGUAAAUAUUGAAGGAAUUGAUUAAAAUAAUUAGCACCAGUUUGCUGUUUUGUUAUUGUGAUUCAGACACAGGUGGACUAACUCUGAAGUCAGGAGCUUGAAGCCUCAGCAUGAUGAACCGUCCACAGAAAUACAUAGAAGGUGAAGCGCUUCACUUUCAACGUGAAAAAUCAAACAAUGCGUUAAAGCUCAGAGUGGCCGUGCUGGUUGUCUGUGUUCUCCUGGUAUCGGCUCUCGUGGUAAUUUAUCUCUUGUUUGAGCUUUUGACAACCAGGGAAAUGCUCAGAAACCUUGAGCUAAAGCAGGGAACUGUACAAACCGAUGUCGCGGUAACGGAACCGUGCAGCACAAUACCAACUACAACCCUACAACCUACUGAAAUAAACAUGCUAACACAAUCGUACAGCACGAUACCGCCUACAACCCCACAACCUCCUGCUAUAACUACAGAUGAUCCAUGUUAUAAAUGUGAAGAUGGCUGGAAGCAACAUGGAGGAAAGUGCUAUUUUUUCUCCACAAGCAAAUCAUCCUGGAAUGAGAGCAGCGCUGAAUGUAUCACUAAAGGAGGAGACCUGGUUAAGAUAGACAGCAGUGAGGAGCAGAGCUUCUUGAGGAUAGCUAUUCAACAAAAAAUCGAGAGCUAUGACGACUUUUUCUGGAUCGGACUGACAGACUCAGCAGUAGAGGGCAGAUGGUUGUGGGUGGACGGCUCACCGCUGAAUGAAAGUUUGACAUUUUGGUUCUCUCAUGAGCCAGAUGAUUGGACUGGAGAAGAUCCUGGUGGAGAGGACUGUGCGAGCAUGGAGAAAACGCAUUGGUUUGAUAUUUCCUGCAAAUUAAAUCAAAAAAGCAUUUGUGAGAAACCAGCUGUGGCUCUGUGUGACUAAAUUCAGUUCAGGAAGUAAAGAUGGAAGUAGAGGACACAAUGAGGCAGUUUUUCAAAAGCUAAUGCUGCAAACUUUUAAAGCUUCCUUUCAUGAAAAGAUAUAUAUACCAUUUAAAAUGAAAUAAAUGUUAAUAAUUAGUUUGUUCCUGAUUUUUUUAAUGUGUGUAUUAUGUGCUAAAACCGCCUUUUUUUGUCGUAACUUUUAAGAAUUUACAUCAGUGUCUGACCUCACAGAGGAGUUAUAUAACUAAAGGCUAUAAAAAUACGCUUUGUUCUGUUUUAUUAAAAUAAUAUGAAAACUUUCCAGACUGUAAAUAGAUUCAAGGGAGACAAAAGACAGU